rnacentral:tmRNA from 1 species
GGGGGCGUACUGGUUUCGACGGGAGUCGGAUGAUAACAGACGCAUGCCGAGGAUUAUGGUUGGCCUCGUAAAUAAUCCAUUACUUUUUUAAAUGGCGAAAACAAUUACGCCAUGGCUGCCUAAUUAAUUAGUGCAAGCCCGUUGUUCCUGUCGCGCUGUCUGCGGCGAUGGGUAACAAUGUCAUAAUAGCGGACUGGUCCUUCAUGGCUGCAUCUGGACUUGAAGGGCGAGAUUUUUCAGGAGCUGGUUUUCGGAAGCCUGUCUGUCGGCUAAACCGGGAGCGAGACUUAAUGACGGGCUAAGCAUGUAGUGGUUGUUGUUUGAAAACCUCCGGACGCGGGUUCGAUUCCCGCCGCCUCCAUUU